AUUGAACGCUGGCGGCAGGCUUAACACAUGCAAGUCGAGCGGGGGAAGGUAGCUUGCUACCGGACCUAGCGGCGGACGGGUGAGUAAUGCUUAGGAAUCUGCCUAUUAGUGGGGGACAACAUCUCGAAAGGGAUGCUAAUACCGCAUACGUCCUACGGGAGAAAGCAGGGGAUCUUCGGACCUUGCGCUAAUAGAUGAGCCUAAGUCGGAUUAGCUAGUUGGUGGGGUAAAGGCCUACCAGGGCGACGAUCUGUAGCGGGUCUGAGAGGAUGGUCCGCCACACUGGGACUGAGACACGGCCCAGAAUCCUACGGGAGGCAGCAGUGGGGAAUAUUGGACAAUGGGGGGAACCCUGAUCCAGCCAUGCCGCGUGUGUGAAGAAGGCCUUAUGGUUGUAAAGCACUUUAAGCGUGGAGGAGGCUACUUUAGUUAAUACCUAGAGAUAGUGGACGUUACUCGCAGAAUAAGCACCGGCUAACUCUGUGCCAGCAGCCGCCGUAA
rnacentral:rRNA from 1 species